GAAAUGCUAAGAUAUGUGGAGGAACACCAGUGGCGAAGGCGACUCUCUGGUCUGUUUCUGACGCUGAGGUGCGAAAGCGUGGGUAGCAAACAGGAUUAGAUACCCUGGUAGUCCACGCCGUAAACGAUGAGUGCUAGGUGUUAGGGGGCUUCCACCCCUUAGUGCUGAAGUUAACGCAUUAAGCACUCCGCCUGGGGAGUACGGCCGCAAGGCUGAAACUCAAAGGAAUUGACGGGGGCCCGCACAAGCGGUGGAGCAUGUGGUUUAAUUCGAAGCAACGCGAAGAACCUUACCAGGUCUUGACAUCCUUGGACAAUCCUAGAGAUAGGACUUUCCCUUCGGGGACCAAGUGACAGGUGGUGCAUGGUUGUCGUCAGCUCGUGUCGUGAGAUGUUGGGUUAAGUCCCGCAACGAGCGCACCCCUAAUCUUAGUUGCCACAUUCAGUUGGGCACUCUAAGGUGACUGCCGGUGACAACCGGAGGAAGGCGGGGAUGACGUCAAUCUCAUGCCCCUUAUGACCUGGGCUCACACGUGCUAAAU
rnacentral:rRNA from 1 species